AUUGAACGCUGGCGGCAUGCCUUACACAUGCAAGUCGAACGGCAGCACGGGUGCUUGCCCCUGGUGGCGAGUGGCGAACGGGUGAGUAAUACAUCAGAACAUGUCCUGUAGUGGGGGAUAGCCCGGCGAAAGCCGGAUUAAUACCACAUACGAUCCACGGAUGAAAGCGGGGUCCCUUCAGGUCUCGCGCUCUGGUGUUGGCCGAUGGCGGAUUAGCUAGUUGGUGGGGUAAAGGCCUACCAAGGCGACGAUCAGUAGCUGGUCUGAGAGGACGACCAGCCACACUGGGACUGAGACACGGCCCAGACUCCUACGGGAGGCAGCAGUGGGGAAUUUUGGACAAUGGGCGAAAGCCUGAUCCAGCAAUGCCGCGUGUGUGAAGAAGGCCUUCGGGUUGUAAAGCACUUUUGUCCGGAAAGAAAUCCUUGGAUCUAAUACAGUCGGGGGAUGACGGUACCGGAAGAAUAAGCACCGGCUAACUACGUG
rnacentral:rRNA from 1 species